UGCUGCGUGACUGCUCCUGGUGCCAAGGCCACCGCUGCCAUGAGUCUGAAUGGCUAAUGUUGAGAUUAGCAGGGCCUCCCUUCUACUGGCCUGUCCUCCUGGCUCUCCUCCCUUUUGCCUCUUCUGGAUUUCAGCCAGUGCAGGGGAAAUCCUCAUCUUUCCCACUCACUGCUACACUCACUGUGAUGUGUUUAUAGACCUUCGGGGACCACACCUCCUCCAGCUGUCUGCCUUACUCGAAAAUGAGACCCAGCUUGUCCCUGACUUCUAGUAGCCAGAAAGUCUUCCACAAGAUCCAGCCGCAUGAUACUAAGUACACACAUAAAUGUGAAAACAAACCCCUCCAGCCUUUCCCACUGUAAAUCAACAGCACAUGC
rnacentral:antisense_RNA from 1 species